ensembl:lncRNA
GAUUCUAUUAUACUACGGAUUUUGGCUGCGUAAAUAUCUUGUGGCUAUCUGCCAGGAAGAUAUCUGGAGAAAUCAGUGUUGAUUGACGGACCGAAAAAAAUUUCUUUUAAAUGUUAGGAAAGACAAAUUCAUCCCGUAACUCGUUUGCAAUGAAUUAUUUGUCCCGCCCUGUCUCCAUACAGGUGAUGCUGCACAGCAGCACAGCACUCUAGGGAUGAUGACAGUCAGGAAAUGAGCUCUCUACAGCGUCGUCCAUGCGUAAAACUUUUACAGUUUAAUGAUAAGAGAUUCUGAAUUAUUGCUGGGCAGUUGAUUGAAAGUUGCUACACUUGUUUUCAAAACGUGAAUGCAACUGGUCGGGCAGCAGCAAGAUUCCCUUUGCACUGUCUGGUCUGGCGGCCCUGCUCCCACACACGCACACUGCGGCCUGGUGUCUUUCCUGCCCACAGAGCUCCGUAUCUACAUGGAUGAAGGAUUCAUGGCUCGAUCGUCCCUUUCAGAGUUAGGACAAGCACAUGGGAGCAGAGGGGCAUCCUCCUGGCUGUGUGUGAGAGGAAGACGAAGUGCAGAGCAGUGUACACAUGCUGCUUUCAGCAGGAAGGGCUCCCUGCAGCUCAGACGGGUACAUCUGGCAGCGCUCUCGGAGCGAAAAAAAAAAAAUAGCUGAAGCAGCAAUGGGAUGUGCUCCUCGAUCACCAUUCUGGUUGCCUCUUGGAAAACAGUGGCAACAACGGCGGUCGGUCGCCAUUUUCUCAGGCAGAAGCCCAGCCUGGCUCCUGCCGCGAGCGCGGCCUUGUUGGCAUCCCGGCACGGCGUCUGCAGGGCGAGCUCCUGCGGGGAGCAGGCCUGCUCCUGGGCCAGCAGAAGGGCUGAGCAGGAGCCCGCAGGCCCGGGGCCAGGAGGGAGGGACCCAGCUGUGCUUAUGAAUAUUUGCAAAAGGCACAGAGCUCAACGCCAAGGGCUGGCCUCACAUCGGCCGAGGUUCUGAGCGCGGCUUUUGUUUCACUGCGAGCCUAUCCAAGCUCAUUUGUCCGUUGCUAGUAAUUUGCCCAGUGGACCACGUCUCACAGGCCUGGGUCUUUAUUCAGGCUGCGUGCCCAGUGACCUCAGCACACUCUGUGCCAGGAUAAAGACUGCCUGAGGGCGGCAGGCUUGGGGCCGGAUACCUCGAAUGCCAUUCAGAUGUGAUUUCCAAUGUAAGAACCUCC